rnacentral:rRNA from 1 species
GUAUAUGAGGUGAUUAAUUGGAGGGCAAAUCAAGUGCCAGCAGCCGCGGUAAUACUUGUUCCAAGAGUGUGUAUGAUGAUUGAUGCAGUUAAAAAGUCCGUAGUUUAUUUUUUAAGAAGCAAUAUGAGGUGUACUGUAUAGUUGGGAGAAAGAUGAAAUGUGACGACCCUGACUGGACGAACAGAAGCGAAAGCUGUACACUUGUAUGUAUUUUUUGAACAAGGACGUAAGCUGGAGGAGCGAAGAUGAUUAGAUACCAUUGUAGUUCCAGCGGUAAACUAUGCCGACGAUGUGAUAUGAAAAUGUUAAUUUGUAUUACAUAAUAGAAAUUUGAGUUUUUUGGCUCUGGGGAUAGUAUGAUCGCAAGAUUGAAAAUUAAAGAAAUUGACGGAAGAAUACCACAAGGAGUGGAUUGUGCGGCUUAAUUUGACUCAACGCGAGGUAACUUACCAAUAUUUUAUUAUUUUGGGAGAACGGUUUUUUGUUUGAGAAUGAUAAUAGUGGUGCAUGGCCGUUUUCAAUGGAUGCUGUGAAGUUUUGAUUAAUUUCAACAAGACGUGAGACCCCUAUUUUUUAUUAAAGACAGACACAAUCAGUGUAGGAAGGAAAGGAUUAAAACAGGUCCGUUAUGCCCUCUGACAUUUUGGGCUGCACGCGCAAUACAAUAGAUAUA